AAGCAGGCAACGCGCUUGAGAUCGCGUUGGCGCCCAUGGCGACCUCGAGGAUGCCAAACCCUAAUGCUAAAUGCUCCUCGAUCUCCUCAUCCGCUUCUCAGAUCCUUAUGUUGGAACCUUUGGUGUCGACCUCUCCGACGAGGAAAGCGAACGCCGUCUUCGUAGCGGGAGGUCGCUGCGUAGCAGCAGGAAGAGGGAGUUUUCGUUUGAAUUGGAUUUGAUCGUAGGCCGGGAGGAAGAUUCGUGCCACGGGUGAGUUCCAUAGCAGAGCCAUCGAUGGUAUGAAUUGUCUUAUCUUCCAUCUUCUCCUUUAAUCUUAUGUUUGCUCUGUUCGGUCUGAUCUGCCCUGAUAAUGCAAAUUUCUCCCAAGAUCAUUUGUUGAGGUUU